CAUACAGUCCUCUUCUCCAAUUGCAAAACACAGAGAACACCAAAAUGACGACGAGGACGAAUUUGUACAAGAACCCUUCCAUUACGUACAAGAAGGACCUCAGUCUCUCCUCCGUUCUUCAAAACCUCCAAGCUUACAACAUCGCCACCGGCAAUGCUCCGCCUCCUGAAGAACAUCCUCCGCCAGCCGCCGAUGCCAAAACGGCAGGUCGUAAACGCCAGCGCGAUCCAAAACCGCCGCCGCAGCAUUGUGGCGGGAAGCGUGAAAUUGAAGAGGGCGACGGACCUAUGUCGCACCAGGAUUACAUAGACAAGAGAAGAAAAGAAGCUUCUGCAACGCCAGCUUUCGAAGAAUUAACUGCGGAUGUUUUGGGAAAGCAAGGAACUUCCAAUUCAUGUUUAAAUUUGGUACAGUAUGACAGUGGUGAGACUAGUUCUUCAGAAUGUGAAGAGAAGCAGCAUGAUCCUCCAAAUUCUGUUCACAGGAAUGAAUCUGAUGGAGUAAAGAGCAGAAGUGAACAGCGUUUGCCUCACCCAGGCGAACCUGUUUGUGUAAUGUGUGGUAAAUACGGAGAAUAUAUAUGCAACGAGACGGAUGACGACAUCUGCAGCAUGGAGUGCAAAGCUGAGUUACUGGAAGCUCUUCAAGUUGUCAAGGAUCCAUUAAGCAAUGAAAGACCAGAUGUCUCCUCAUCCGGGCCCAACUAUACCUUACCCAUGCCUGAUUUUGGUGAAGACACUUGGGAUUAUGAACGUCAUCGCUGGUUGAAGAAGACUUCCAGUCUUUGUAGUUAUGAAUGCUGGAAAUGCAAGAGGCCUGGACACCUUGCUCAAGAUUGUUUGGUGAUGACAAAUAACCAGAUGACAUUGGGCCAAAGCAAUUCCAAUUCAAUAUCAGCGGACCUUCUUGCGUUGUACAGAAGAUGCCACCAGAUAGGAAAAAACAUGUCAGUGGCAAAGUGCAGCGAAUGCUACAGCUCAUUAAGUUUGGCUACAUGCCUUGAUUGUAGGACUGCCCUCUGUGACAAUGCAGGUCAUUUGCAUGAGCAUAUACAGAGACAUACAUCCCAUCAACGAUAUUAUUCUCAUAAACUCUCUCGUCUGGUGAAAUGCUGUAAAUCAACAUGCAAGGUGACUGACAUCAAGGAUCUUUUGGCAUGCCAGUACUGUUUUGAUAAAGCUUUUGAUAAGUUCUAUGACAUGUAUACUGCAUCUUGGAAAGGAACUGGUCUUUCAAUCAUAUCAGGUUCUAUUUGCUGUGAAGAUCACUUUGAUUGGCAUCGUAUGAACUGUUUCAACGCUGGUGUGGAAGACAGUGCAUAUAUUAUCAGUAGGACACCGCUGAGAGAGAAGCAUAUUCAGCUUAGUGACUUCAUCUUCUGAAAGUGUUACUGAGGCAGAGACAACUACACUUCGGUUGUUCAUGAUGGUACUGCUUCAUAAACUCCUAACAAUGCAUAUGGAUUAUCAAAUUGUGUUUGUACAGUUAUAGGUUUCAACAUACUACUGAAAACCUUUACAGUCCUUGCAAAGUAAGAAUAUCAACUGUUCAUUGCUUUGCCAACUUGGAGCUUGUGGGGACUCUACAUCCAUGGAAGGUUGAGAUUAUGCAGUUUUAAUCAGGAAAUUAUAUGGGUUAUCAUGUAAUUAUCUUGGAUCAGUUUGUAAGGUGGAGGCUGGCAAGGCCGAACAGGCUGUAUUCUCAUCUGAUUCUUAUUGAAUAGGUCCAGCAGUUUGUCCAUUCUUAAUUUUCGUUCCAUGUGCAUUCUACUACUACUUUCUUCUGUUUUAACUUCUUAUUUAUCUCUCGAGGAGAUGUAGCGGUGAUGAAAUAUAGUGGUUGUCCAGAAAUUUGCU